CCUACGGGGCGCAGCAGUGGGGAAUAUUGCACAAUGGGGGAAACCCUGAUCCAGCAACGCCGCGUGAGUGAGGAAGUAUUUCGGUAUGUAAAGCUCUAUCAGCAGGGAAUAGAAAAGAAGGUACCUGAAAAAGAAGCCCCGGCUCACUACGUGCCAGCAGCCGCGGUAAUACGUAGGGGGCACGCGUUAUCCGGAUUUACUGGGUUUAUAGGGAGCGUAUACGGAAAGGCAAGUCAGAAGUGAUAGCCCAAGGCUCAACCAUG
rnacentral:rRNA from 1 species